AUUGAACGCUGGCGGAAUGCUUUACACAUGCAAGUCGAACGGCAGCACGGACUUCGGUCUGGUGGCGAGUGGCGAACGGGUGAGUAAUACAUCGGAACGUGCCCAGUCGUGGGGGAUAACGUAGCGAAAGCUACGCUAAUACCGCAUACGAUCUAAGGAUGAAAGCGGGGGAUCGCAAGACCUCGCGCGAUUGGAGCGGCCGAGGGCAGCUUAGGUAGUUGGGAGGGUAGAGGCCUCCCAAGCCGACGAUCUGUAGCUGGUCUGAGAGGAUGGUCAGCCACACUGAGACUGAGACACGGCCCAGACUCCUACGGGAGUCAGCAGUGGGGAAUUUUGGACAAUGGGCGCAAGCCUGAUCCAGCCAUUCCGCGUGCAGGAUGAAGGCCUACGGGUUGUAAACUGCUUUUGUACAGAACGAAAAGGCUCUGGUUAAUACCCGGGGCUCAUGACGGUGCUGUAAGAAUAAGCACCGGCUAACUGCGUGCCAGCCGCCGCCGUAA
rnacentral:rRNA from 1 species